GAUGAACGCUGGCGGCGUGCCUAAUACAUGCAAGUCGAGCGAACGGACGAGAAGCUUGCUUCUCUGAUGUUAGCGGCGGACGGGUGAGUAACACGUGGAUAACCUACCUAUAAGACUGGGAUAAAUUCGGGAAACCGGAUCUAAUACCGGAUAAUAUUUUGAACCGCAUGGUUCAAAAGUGAAAGACGGUCUUGCUGUCACUUAUAGAUGGAUCCGCGCUGCAUUAGCUAGUUGGUAAGGUAACGGCUUACCAAGGCAACGAUGCAUAGCCGACCUGAGAGGGUGAUCGGCCACACUGGAACUGAGACACGGUCCAGACUCCUACGGGAGGCAGCAGUAGGGAAUCUUCCGCAAUGGGCGAAAGCCUGACGGAGCAACGCCGCGUGAGUGAUGAAGGUCUUCGGAUCGUAAAACUCUGUUAUUAGGGAAGAACAUAUGUGUAAGUAACUGUGCACAUCUUGACGGUACCUAAUCAGAAAGCCACGGCUAACUACGUG
rnacentral:rRNA from 1 species